AGUAUAAAUUACAUCAAAACCAUUACAGGGAAGAGACAACAAUGACAACCAUGCCACUAACGAUUUUGAAUGUAUAAUAUAUAAAUGACAUAUAGAACCCACAUUUAAACAGGACAGAACUACAUAAUUGGAAAUCUGAAAGUUCAAUCAAAUAGUCUGCAUCUACUAUGAAAACAAAGCAUGAGAUUUCACUAACCUUAGCUCAAAAUUCAUAUUAGCAAUAAAAUGGUU
rnacentral:misc_RNA from 1 species